rnacentral:rRNA from 1 species
UACGUAGGGUGCAAGCGUUGUCCGGAAUUAUUGGGCGUAAAGAGCUCGUAGGCGGUCUGUCACGUCGGCUGUGAAAAUCCGAGGCUCAACCUCGGGCCUGCAGUCGAUACGGGCAAACUAGAGUACUGCAGGGGAGACUGGAAUUCCUGGUGUGGCGGUGAAAUGCGCAGAUAUCAGGAGGAACACCGGUGGCGAAGGCGGGUCUCUGGGCAGUAACUGACGCUGAGGAGCGAAAGCGUGGGGAGCGAACAGG